CAGUCGCCGCGGUAAAACGGAGGGUGCAAGCGUUAAUCGGAAUUACUGGGCGUAAAGCGCACGCAGGUGGUGGUUUAAGUCCGUUGUGAAAGCCCUGGGCUCAACCUGGGAAUUGCAGUGGAUACUGGGUCACUAGAGUGUGGUAGAGGAUAGUGGAAUUUCCGGUGUAGCAGUGAAAUGCGUAGAGAUCGGAAGGAACAUCUGUGGCGAAGGCGACUAUCUGGGCCAACACUGACACUGAGGCACGAAAGCGUGGGGAGCAAACAGGAUUAGAUACCCCUGUAGUCCCUGUCUCUUAUAC
rnacentral:rRNA from 1 species